rnacentral:rRNA from 1 species
UACGUAGGGGGCGAGCGUUGUCCGGAUUCAUUGGGCGUAAAGCGCUUUAAGGCGGUUCGCUAAGUCGGGUGUGAAACCUCCAGGCUCAACCUGGAGACGCCACUCGAUACUGGCGGGCUAGAGUUCUGGAGGGGGUAGCGGAAUUCCUGGUGUAGCGGUGAAAUGCGUAGAUAUCAGGAGGAACACCGGUGGCGAAGGCGGCUACCUGGACAGAAACUGACGCUGAGGCGCGAAAGCUAGGGGAGCAAACAGG